CUCAGCCUCCCGAGUAGCUGGGAUUACACGCAUGUGCCAACACGCCCAGCUAAUUUUUGUAUUUUUAGUAGAGACGGGGUUUCAUCAUGUUAGCCAGGCUGGUCUCGAACUCCCAACCUCAGGUGAUCUGCCCACCUUGGGAUUUGCCUCCCAAAGUGUUGGGAUUAUAGGCGUGAGCCAGUACGCCCAGCCUAACAAAUUCUAAAAGAGCUGUAACACUGACAGUCUCUUCAUGGUCCCAGUUAUUUCCAAAAGGGCACGUUCUGCUCUGGUUCCUUCUGGUGGGUUAGCAACAGGGCAGAUCCACUAGAAUACAGCUCUCAAAAUCUACUGCACAUGGACUCACCCAAAGUGCUUUACAAAAAUCCUGAUCCCAGGCCACAUUCCAGAUCACUUACAUUUGAACCUCAGGUCCAAACUCAGGCAUCAGCAUUUAAAACAUUCCUCAGGUGACUCCCAACAUGCAGCUGAUUUGCCAGCCAGCCCUCUGCAGUCUGGAUCAAAGGUUCUCAACAUGAGGUCCCUGAACCAGCGGCUGCUUUGCUAAGAACUGGGAACUUGUGGGAAAGGCAGCGUCUCAGACCCCACCCCAGAUCUACUGAAUCAGAAACUCUGGGGGUGGGGCCAGCACUUUGUUUCAACAAGCCCUCCAGGAGACUCUGAGGCACUAGUCUGGUCCAGUGGGUCUCAAACUUGACUGCAACAAAUGGCCCAGAGAUCUUUUUGAAGUGUAGAGUCUGACUCAGCAGGUGUGGGUGGAGCUGAGAGGCCAGCAAGAUCCCAGGUGGGGCCGAGGCUGCUCAUCCUCCUACCACAUUUUGAGUAGCAAGGAGCUACCAAGAGCAGCCGACGGGGUUUCAUUCUCGUCUACUGGAAGCAACCUUAAUAGACAACUGAAAAACAAAACAAAACAACUGAGAUACCUGUUUCUGCCAGAAAACCCAGGCCAUUCACUGGUCAGCUGUUCCAAAACCAGAGUUAAGCUACUGCAGCUGUUCCCGCGUGCCUGCCUGCAUUCCAGUAAAUAAUCCCACGUGGCAAGUCAGCUCACCUGGUUACUGCCAAAGCAUGUUCCCAGCUGGUGUGACUCAGAGGCACACCAGAAUUUCUUUAUUAUAAUUUGGCGAUAGGGUCUUGCUUUGCCACGCAGGCUGGAGUGCCGUGGUCCGAUCACAGUUCACUACAGCCUUGAACUCCUGGGCUCAAGUGAUCUUCCUGCCUUAGACUCCCAAGUAGCUGAGAUUAUAGGCACACGCCACCACACCCAGCUAAUUUAAAAAUAUUUUUGUAGAGACCAGGUCUCACUAUGUUGCCUGGUUUGGUAUCAAACUCCUGGCCUUAAGGGAUCCUCCUGCCUCGGCCUCCCAAAGUGCCAGGAUUAUAGGUGUGAGCCAUCAUGCCCAGCCAGAGCACCAGAAAUAGCUCCCAACUGUAGAAGGAGCCUCCCUGUAGCGCUGUUGGCUCCCUCCUUCCUGUGGAGUCUCCACAGCAGUCCCUCCCCACCAUGAGGCCAGAGAGGCUAACAGCUUUGCUGUCACCCAACAGAAAUGCUUUAAGUACUGACCACUGCUGGAGGGAAAGGCUACCGCUAACACUUGGGAUGUUUUCUGACAGCCUCUGAAACUUCUACGAACUGCUGAGGCAUAGGAUCCUCUCCUAAAAUUUCUCCCAGAUCUUAACGUCAGGGCUGUCUGGCCCUUUCAUGAGUAUGUGGGUUAUAGUCUCUGGCAGGCACUUGUGAAGAGUGUGACUGAUUGACACUUUUUUGCCUUGGUUGCUGGGAAGCUCAGAUCUCCCCUCUGCAUGUCCCUUGCUUAGGACCUCCCAUGGUGUACUUGGAGUUGGGACCUCACCUGGCUCUCCCUUAUCUUUCCGGCUGCCAUUUUUUCCCCUUUCUAACUUUCUUUCCCAUACACUUAUUUGAAAUAUUAUCUCACGGUAACGAAAUAAAGUGUCUGUCACCUCCUGCUGUGUUGUCAUCUUGCAUGAGCUAUCUAAGUUCUCUGUUCUUCAGUUUCUGCAUCUGUAAAACGAUGACAAUGACAGAGCCAACCUCGCUUUGAGGAUCACAUGAGUUAAUAAAGGCCUGGCACACAGUUAGCACUCAAUAAAUGUUAGUUAUGAUUUUUAUUA
rnacentral:lncRNA from 10 species